ensembl:lncRNA
CUUCAAACUGGUUGGGAAAGUACCUACAGCAUCAUCAUGCAGUGUGACAGAACAUUCACACUGUGGUUGAGAAAGCCCCUGAACCAUCUUUAAGGGGAGUGGCUGAACAUUCACCUUGUGGUUGAGAAAACCCCAGCAUCCUGAUGGGCUGUGGCUGGACCUUCACACUGUGAUCAGGAAAGCAUGUCUAGGAUCAUCAUGAGAUGUGGCUGAACAUUCACAUUGUGUUUAGGAAAGCACCUUUACCAUCUACCUGGGCUGUAGCUGAACAUUCAUACUGUGGGAAACGCCUUCAAGAAUAUUCUUAGGUUAUUCCUAAAUCUUCACACUGGUUGAGAAACCACCUCCAGCACCUUCAUAAAAUAUGAGUGAACUUUCACAUUGUGGCUGAAAAAUGUCUUCUGGCAUCUUCCUAGUGUGUACUGAACAUUCACACUGUGGUUGGGAAACCCUCCAGCAGCAUUAUGGGCUCUGGCUGACCUUUAUACUGUGGUUGGAAAACCACCUCCAGGAUCUUCAUGGGAUGUGCCUGAACCUUCACAGAGUAGUUGGGGAAGCAUCUCAAGCACCAUCAUGGGAGGUGUUGCUGGACCUUUACACUGGUUUGGAAAGUGCCUCUAAGAUUUUCAAAGUUAUGGCUGGACAUCCACAUUGUGAUUGGGAAGCCCCCUCCAGAGUAUUCUUGGAGUGUUUCUAAACCUUCACAUUGGUUUGGAAACCACCUCCAGCAUCUUCAUGGGUUGUGUCUAGACCUUUGUGCUGUGGUUGGCAAACAACCUCCAGCAUCUUCAUAGGGUGUGGCUGGACCUUCACAAUGUGGUUGAGAAACUGCCUCCAGUAUCAUCAUGGAGUGUGGCUGAACAUUCAUGUGGCUGGGAAACCACCUCCAGAAUCUUUAUGGGAUAUGACUGAACCUUCACAUUGUGAUCGGGAAAGUACCUCCAGCAGCAUCAUUGGGUGAUGUUUAACAUUCACAUUGUGGUUAGGAAGCCACCUCCAGCAUCAUUAUGGAGUGUGACUGAACCUUCACAGUGUUGUUGAAAAAAUAACCUCCAUCAUCUUCAAGGGGAGUGGCUGACCAUUCAUUUUGUGGCUGGGAAACCACCUUGAGCAUUUUCAUGGGCCUAAACAUUCACACUGUGGUUGGGAAACCACCUCCAGGAUCUUCAUGGGCUGUGGCUGGACCUUCAUUCUGUGUUUUAAAAGCACCUUCAGAAACAUCACAGGGUGUGUUUGAACAUUUAAAUUGUAGUUAUGAAACCACCUUUAGCAUCUGUAUGGGCUGUAGCUGAACAUUCACACUGUGGUUGGAAAUCUGUUUCCACCAUCUUCAUGGGAUGUAGCUGAACAUCAUCACAUUGUAGUAGGGAAACCUCCAACAUCUUCAGUGGGUGUGGCUGAACUUUAACACUGUGGUUCAGAAAUCACCUCCAGGAUCAACAUGUGUGGCUAAACAUCUCAUUGUGGUUGGGAAACUGCAUCAAACAUCUGCAUGGAUGUGAGUGCACAUCCCUUCUGUGGUUGUCAACCACCUCCACCAUCUUCAUGAGGCUGACUAUAUCUUUACGUAGUGGUUGGGGAAGUGUGCCCACCAUCUUCAAGGGGUGUGGCUGAAUCUUAAAACCAUAGUUGGAAAAUCACCUCCAGUGUCCUCAAGGCAGUAGAUGAACAUUCUCACUGUGGCUAGGAAACCACUUCCAGAAUCUUCAUGGAGUGUGGCUAAACUUUCACACUGUGGUAGCAAAACUCCCUCCAGCAUCUUCAAGGAAUGUAACUGAACACCCAUUCUAUGGUUGGGAAACCACCUCCAGCAUCUUCAUGGGAUGUAGCUGAAUAUCACAUUGUGGUGGGGAAACGGCCUUUGGCAUCUACAUGGGAUGUGACUGGAUACCCAUCCUGUACUUGGGAAGCCACCUCCAGCAUCCAUGGGGUGUGGCUGGACACCACCCUGCAGUGAGGAAACAUUUCCAGUAUCUUUCUUCAUGUGCUGGACACUGUUCUGUAAUCCACUGAUUGGGAAAUCAACUUCAGCAUCUUCACUGAGGUGUGGAUGGCACCCACCCUGUGGUUUGAAAACCAAGUCCAGCAUCUUCCUGGGGUCUGGCUAGAAACCCACCCUCUUCCAGGUAGACCACCUCCACAUCCUCUUGUGGUGUGUGGUGUGGUGUUCUCAAUACUCAACGCGCAGAACGCUCCUGACUCAGAUGUGCCUCAUCAGUUCUCCAGCAUCAGCUGGGUGCUCUGCAGCCCUGUUCUGUUUUGAGUCUAACCCGAGUCAGUGCAGGCUCCACAGGUGAGGGGUUUGGUCCCACACGGUUGUCCCCCACUUCAGAUGGAAUCUAAAUUAGUAGGAUCCAGGUCACUCACAACUUUGUCUGAAUUGGCUGUGACUCAGAGGUCCCCAAACUCCCUCCUUGGGUUCUGAAAUUUUUUAGGGAGUCUACAGAACUCAGGGAAACACAUGACUUACAUUCACCCAUUUAUUAUAAAGGAUAUUACAAAGGAGGCAUCUGGGAAGCUGGGUGGAGAAGGUGGAGAGGGACCUGUGGCGAGGUAUGGGGAAGGGGCCCAGUACUUUCGUGUCCUCCCUGGGGUGCCACCCUCCCAGCACUCCAUGUGCUGGGCAUCUUGGAAGCUGUCUGACCCAUCUUUAAGGAGACUUUGAUACAUUAACCACUAAACCACUCUGGG